CACAUUGUGCACUGAACUCUCCUUAUCCUGCCUUGAAUCAGACUGGUGGUUGCCACGGGGUGUGUUCAACACGUCGGAUGGGCUGCAUCAUGUCGCUUGUAUCAACCGCCUGUGCCAGGGUGCUUGUCUGCUUGGUUGUCAAGGAAGAUUCAAGUCAACAGAAGGGAAAGGUCCAUAAGAGGUGUGGCAGGAGGGGUCAUGCAGAAGGUGAGCAAGAUGUUAAAUGCUCCACUUCCUCACUGUGGAGCAACACUCUGCAGUCAGCUCAGGCAAGAAAAAAAAAUCAAACUCUUCCUCAACAAGCCUUAUCCCUCCACUGGAUCAAUCCUUGCUACUACUGACUGCAGGACCGUGGAACUUGGCAAUCUCCUUCAAAAAAGAAAAAGGAACAAAAAUUUUUUAUUUUAUUUGAUGUUGUCUAUAAAACACAAUUUUGAGUUUUAGA